rnacentral:tRNA from 1 species
GGCCCCGUAGCUCAGUGGAUAGAGCGGCGGACUUCGAAUCCGCGGGCGCAAGUUCGAUUCUUGCCGGGGCCA